rnacentral:rRNA from 1 species
UACAGAGGGUGCGAGCGUUAAUCGGAAUUACUGGGCGUAAAGCGCGCGUAGACGGUUAUUUAAGUCGGGUGUGAAAGCCCCGGGCUCAACCUGGGAAUUGCAUUCGAGACUGAAUAGCUAGGGUACGGUAGAGGGAAGCGGAAUUUCCGGUGUAGCGGCGAAAUGCGUAGAUAUCGGAAGGAACAUCAGUGGCGAAAGCGGCUUCCUGGACCAGUACCGACGUUCAGGCACGAAAGCGUGGGGAGCAAACAGG